rnacentral:rRNA from 1 species
GAUGAACGCUGGCGGCGUGCCUAAUACAUGCAAGUCGAGCGAACAGACGAGGAGCUUGCUCCUUUGACGUUAGCGGCGGACGGGUGAGUAACACGUAGGUAACCUACCUAUAAGACUGGGAUAACUUCGGGAAACCGGAGCUAAUACCGGAUAAUAUUUCGAACCGCAUGGUUCGAUAGUGAAAGAUGGCUUUGCUAUCACUUAUAGAUGGACCUGCGCCGUAUUAGCUAGUUGGUAAGGUAACGGCUUACCAAGGCAACGAUACGUAGCCGACCUUAGAGGGUGAUCGGCCACACUGGAACUGAGACACGGUCCAGACUCCUACGGGAGGCAGCAGUAGGGAAUCUUCCGCAAUGGGCGAAAGCCUGACGGAGCAACGCCGCGUGAGUGAUGAAGGUCUUCGGAUCGUAAAACUCUGUUAUUAGGGAAGAACAAACGUGUAAGUAACUGUGCACGUCUUGACGGUACCUAAUCAGAAAGCCACGGCUAACUACGUG